GCCUAGCUGUGCAGAGACUUGAAGUGCCAA
rnacentral:piRNA from 1 species